rnacentral:rRNA from 1 species
UACGUAGGGUGCGAGCGUUGUCCGGAAUUAUUGGGCGUAAAGGGCUCGUAGGCGGUUUGUCACGUCGGGAGUGAAAACUCAGGGCUUAACCCUGAGCCUGCUUCCGAUACGGGCAGACUAGAGGUAUGCAGGGGAGAAUGGAAUUCCUGGUGUAGCGGUGAAAUGCGCAGAUAUCAGGAGGAACACCGGUGGCGAAGGCGGUUCUCUGGGCAUUACCUGACGCUGAGGAGCGAAGGCCAGGGGAGCGAACGGG